UACAGAGGUUGUUACUGGUCGUUAAUGGAGUAAGUAAAGCUCAACCAUAGAGAGUAUUGUCGGAUGUUUGGAAUGAGUGUUUUUCAGGAAGAUGAGGAUAAGAGUAAUAAGGAUGGUACUCUACGAAUUGGAGAGAACAACGAGAAUGUGGUCAUCAGUAAUACGUGUGGGGUUCAUGGCUGUAAGUCGAAGGCAAUGGCGCUUACGAGGUUCUGUCAUAUGCAUAUAUUGUCAGAUUCUAUGCAGAAGUUGUACAAGGAUUGCAGUUUCGCCAUCAAAAGGGAGAAGGAUGAUUACGAGGUGGCAAGGAAAGUUGGGAGAGGGAAGUAUAGCGAGGUGUUUGAGGGAAUUCACACUACUAAUAAUGAAAAUGCAUCAUCAAAAUCCUUAAGCCAGUGAAGAAGAAAAAGAUCAAGCGUGAGAUUAAGAUACUGCAGAAUCUUUGUGGUGGACCUAAUAUUUUGAAGUUACUCGAUAUUGUCAGAGAUCAGCAGUCGAAGACCCCAAGUCUUAUAUUUGAAUAUGUGAAUAACACAAAUUUUAAAGUGUUUUAUCUAACUCUUUCUAACUUUGACGUUGGAUAUUACAUCUAUGAGAUUUUAAAGUGAUAAUAUUAUACUAUUUUUUUCCAUUCACAGGUGAAUCAAUAGAACAUUGUUUAUGGAA